UCCGGCUUAUCACCGGCAGUUUCUUUAGAGUGCCCAACUAAAUGCUGGCAACUAAAGACGAGGGUUGCGCUCGUUGCGGGACUUAACCCAACAUCUCACGACACGAGCUGACGACAGCCAUGCAGCACCUGUGUCCAGGUUCCCUUUCGGGCACCCCUCCAUCUCUGGAGGGUUCCUGGCAUGUCAAGGGUAGGUAAGGUUUUUCGCGUUGCUUCGAAUUAAGCCACAUGCUCCACCGCUUGUGUGAGCCCCCGUCAAUUUCUUUGAGUUUUAACCUUGCGGCCGUACUCCCCAGGCGGAGAACUUAAUGCGUUAGCUGCGCCACCGAGACCCUAAGGGCCCCGACAGCUAGUUCUCAUCGUUUACGGCGUGGACUAC
rnacentral:misc_RNA from 1 species